AUAACUCGGGCCUUUGCUUCAUUGAGCUUCUAUGCACAGUAUUCGUCGUGUCGCAUCGGUAGAAGCCCAUUUGGCUUUGUCUCGAGGUUAGAACUCGGGCCUUUGCUUCAUUGAACUUCUAUGCACAGUAUUCGUGGUGUCGCAUCGGUAGAAGCCCGUUUGGCUUUGUCCUGAGGUUAGAACUCGGGCCUUUGAUUCAUUGAACUUCUAUGCACAGUAUUUGUCGUGUCGAAUCGGUAGAAGCCCGUUUGGCUUUGUCCCGAGGUUAGAACUCGGGCCUUUCAUUUAUUGAACUUACUUGCGCAGUAUUUGUCGUAUCGCAUCGGUAGAAGCCCAUUUGGCUUUGUCUCGAGGUUAGAACUCGGGCCUUUGCUUCAUUGAACUUCUAUGCACAGUAUUCGUCGUGUCGCAUCGGUAGAAGCCCGUUUGGCUUUGUCCUGAGGUUAGAACUCGGGCCUUUGAUUCAUUGAACUUCUAUGCACAGUAUUCGUCGUGUCGCAUCGGUAGAAGCCCAUUUGGCUUUGUCCCGAGGUUAGAACUCGGGCCUUUGCUUCAUUGAACUUCUAUGCACAGUAUUCGUCGUGUCGCAUCGGUAGAAGACCGUUUGGCUUUGUCCUGAGGUUAGAACUCGGGCCUUUGAUUCAUUGAACUUCUAUGCACAGUAUUUGUCGUGUCGAAUCGGUAGAAGCCCGUUUGGCUUUGUCCCGAGGUUAGAACUCGGGCCUUUCAUUUAUUGAACUUACUUGCGCAGUAUUUGUCGUGUCGCAUCGGUAGAAGCCCAUUUGGCUUUGUCUCGAGGUUAGAACUCGGGCCUUUGCUUCAUUGAACUUCUAUGCACAGUAUUUGUCGUGUCGCAUUGGUAGAAGCCCGUUUGGCU